GGGCCCGCACAAGCGGUGGAGUAUGUGGUUUAAUUCGAUGCAACGCGAAGAACCUUACCAGGGUUUGACAUCCUGCGAAUCUCUUGGAAACGAGAGAGUGCCUUCGGGAACGCAGUGACAGGUGGUGCAUGGCUGUCGUCAGCUCGUGUCGUGAGAUGUUGGGUUAAGUCCCGCAACGAGCGCAACCCACGUCGUUAGUUGCCAGCAUUUAGUUGGGCACUCUAGCGAGACCGCCGGUGAUAAACCGGAGGAAGGUGUGGAUGACGUCAAGUCAUCAUGCCCCUUACAUCCUGGGCUACACACGUACUACAAUGGGGCAUACAAAGGGUUGCGACCUCGCAAGAGUGAGCUAA
rnacentral:rRNA from 1 species